AAAGGAAUAGACGGGGGCCCGCACAAGCGGAGGAACAUGUGGUUUAAUUCGAUGAUACGCGAGGAACCUUACCCGGGCUUGAAAGUUAGUGACGGACAGUGAAAACUGUCUUCCCUUCGGGGCACGAAACUAGGUGCUGCAUGGUUGUCGUCAGCUCGUGCCGUGAGGUGUCGGGUUAAGUCCCAUAACGAGCGCAACCCCUACCGUUAGUUACCAGCGAGUCAUGUCGGGCACUCUAACGGGACUGCCGGUGUAAGCCGAGAGGAAGGUGGGGAUGACGUCAAAUCAGCACGGCCCUUACGUCCGGGGCGACACACGUGUUACAAUGGGCGGUACAGAGGGUCGCUACCCCGCGAGGGGAUGCCAAUCUCUAAAACCGCUCUCAGUUCGGAUCGGAGGCUGAAACUCGCCUCCGUGAAGUUGGAUUCGCUAGUAAUCGCGCAUCAGCCAUGGCGCGGUGAAUACGUUCCCGGGCCUUGUACACACCGCCCGU
rnacentral:rRNA from 1 species